rnacentral:rRNA from 1 species
AUUGAACGCUGGCGGCAUGCCUUACACAUGCAAGUCGAACGGCAGCACGGGAGCAAUCCUGGUGGCGAGUGGCGAACGGGUGAGUAAUAUAUCGGAACGUGCCCAGUCGUGGGGGAUAACGUAGCGAAAGCUACGCUAAUACCGCAUACGAUUUACGGAUGAAAGCGGGGGAUCGCAAGACCUCGCGCGAUUGGAGCGGCCGAUAUCAGAUUAGCUAGUUGGUGGGGUAAAAGCCCCACCAAGGCGACGAUCUGUAGCUGGUCUGAGAGGACGACCAGCCACACUGGAACUGAGACACGGUCCAGACUCCUACGGGAGGCAGCAGUGGGGAAUUUUGGACAAUGGGCGAAAGCCUGAUCCAGCAAUGCCGCGUGCAGGGA